UACGAAGGGGGCUAGCGUUGCUCGGAAUUACUGGGCGUAAAGGGCGCGUAGGCGGGUGUUUAAGUCAGAGGUUAAAUCCCAGAGCUCAACUCUGGAACUGCCUUUGAUACUGGACAUCUAGAGUACGGGAGAGGUGUGUGGAACUCCGAGUGUAGAGGUGAAAUUCGUAGAUAUUCGGAAGAACACCAGUGGCGAAGGCGACACACUGGCCCGUUACUGACGCUGAGGCGCGAAAGCGUGGGGAGCAAAC
rnacentral:rRNA from 1 species